UCGCAUGAAUUGGGUUUUUAUAGAGAGGAGAUUAUUGUGUUUUCCCUUCAGUUGAAACCAAUUAUAGUGCGUACAGAGAAAGCCAGUAAUUCUUUAUUGAUUUACUGGCAUCGGCCAGACAACCGUAGAGAUGCGUAUCCACAGAUGACGGGUUAAUUUCCAUCCCGUUGUCUACUGAUUUCAUCUCACAUUC